rfam:Astyanax mexicanus Tnplaced_Scaffold3597, whole genome shotgun sequence.
AUUGGUGCUCUAACAACAGCACUGAUCUUUCCAUAGUAAUUAGUAAGUGCUAUUUGUUGGGGUAGUUUGA